AUUGAACGCUGGCGGCAGGCCUAACACAUGCAAGUCGAGCGGAUGAAGGGAGCUUGCUCCUGGAUUCAGCGGCGGACGGGUGAGUAAUGCCUAGGAAUCUGCCUGGUAGUGGGGGAUAACGUCCGGAAACGGGCGCUAAUACAGCAUACGUCCUGAGGGAGCAAGUGGGGGAUCUUCGGACCUCACGCUAUCAGAUGAGCCUAGGUCGGAUUAGCUAGUUGGUGGGGUAAAGGCCUACCAAGGCGACGAUCCGUAACUGGUCUGAGAGGAUGAUCAGUCACACUGGAACUGAGACACGGUCCAGACUCCUACGGGAGGCAGCAGUGGGGAAUAUUGGACAAUGGGCGAAAGCCUGAUCCAGCCAUGCCGCGUGUGUGAAGAAGGUCUUCGGAUUGUAAAGCACUUUAAGUUGGGAGGAAGGGCAGUAAGUUAAUACCUUGCUGUUUUGACGUUACCAACAGAAUAAGCACCGGCUAACUUCGUG
rnacentral:rRNA from 1 species